rnacentral:rRNA from 1 species
UACAGAGGGUGCGAGCGUUAAUCGGAAUUACUGGGCGUAAAGCGCACGUAGUCGGCUUUGCAAGUCGGGUGUGAAAUCCCCGGGCUCAACCUGGGAACUGCAUCCGAGACUGCAUUGCUAGAGUAUGGGAGAGGGAAGCGGAAUUUCUGGUGUAGCAGUGAAAUGCGUAGAUAUCAGAAGGAACAUCAGUGGCGAAGGCGGCUUCCUGGACCAAUA